GAGUUUGAUCAUGGCUCAGGAUGAACGCUGGCGGCGUGCUUAACACAUGCAAGUCGAACGAAGCGCCUUAUUUGAUUUUCUUCGGAACUGAAGAUUUGGUGACUGAGUGGCGGACGGGUGAGUAACGCGUGGGGUAACCUGCCCUGUACAGGGGGAUAACAAUCAGAAAUGACUGCUAAUACCGCAUAAGACCACAGCACCGCAUGGUGCAGGGGUAAAAACUCCGGUGGUACAGGAUGGACCCGCGUCUGAUUAGCUGGUUGGUGAGGUAACGGCUCACCAAGGCGACGAUCAGUAGCCGGCUUGAGAGAGUGAACGGCCACAUUGGGACUGAGACACGGCCCAAACUCCUACGGGAGGCAGCAGUGGGGAAUAUUGCACAAUGGGGGAAACCCUGAUGCAGCAACGCCGCGUGAGUGAAGAAGUAUUUCGGUAUGUAAAGCUCUAUCAGCAGGGAAGAAAGUGACGGUACCUGACUAAGAAGCCCCGGCUAACUACGUGCCAGCCGCCGCCGUAAU
rnacentral:rRNA from 1 species